AUUGAACGCUGGCGGCAUGCUUUACACAUGCAAGUCGAACGGCAGCACGGACUUCGGUCUGGUGGCGAGUGGCGAACGGGUGAGUAAUACAUCGGAACGUACCCAGUAAUGGGGGAUAACUAUCCGAAAGGGUAGCUAAUACCGCAUACGCCCUACGGGGGAAAGAGGGGGAUCGCAAGACCUCUUGUUAUUGGAGCGGCCGAUGGCUGAUUAGCUAGUUGGUGAGGUAAAGGCUCACCAAGGCGACGAUCAGUAGCGGGCCUUAGAGGACGAUCCGCCACACUGGAACUGAGACACGGUCCAGACUCCUACGGGAGGCAGCAGUGGGGAAUCUUGGACAAUGGGCGCAAGCCUGAUCCAGCAAUGCCGCGUGCGUGAAGAAGGCCUUCGGGUUGUAAAGCGCUUUUGUCAGGGAGCAAAUCCUUGUGGCUAAUACCCACCGGGGAUGAGAGUACCUGAAGAAUAAGGACCGGCUAACUACGUGCCAGCCGCCGCGGUAA
rnacentral:rRNA from 1 species